rnacentral:rRNA from 1 species
GAAGGCCCUCGGGUUGUAAAGCACUUUCAGCGAGGAAGAACGCCUGUCGGUUAAUACCCGGUAGGAAAGACAUCACUCGCAGAAGAAGCACCGGCUAACUCCGUGCCAGCAGCCGCGGUAAUACGGAGGGUGCAAGCGUUAAUCGGAAUUACUGGGCGUAAAGCGCGCGUAGGUGGCUUGAUAAGCCGGUUGUGAAAGCCCCGGGCUCAACCUGGGAACGGCAUCCGGAACUGUCAGGCUAGAGUGCAGGAGAGGAAGGUAGAAUUCCCGGUGUAGCGGUGAAAUGCGUAGAGAUCGGGAGGAAUACCAGUGGCGAAGGCGGCCUUCUGGACUGACACUGACACUGAGGUGCGAAAGCGUGGGUAGCAAACAGGAUUAGAUACCCUGGUAGUCCACGCCGUAAACGAUGUCGACCAGCCGUUGGGUGCCUAGAGCACUUUGUGGCGAAGUUAACGCGAUAAGUCGACCGCCUGGGGAGUACGGCCGCAAGGUUAAAACUCAAA